GAACUGCGUUAAGUAAUGUGAAUUGCAGAAUUCAGUGAAUCAUCGAGUCUUUGAACGCACAUUGCGCCCCCUGGCAUUCCGGGGGGCAUGCCUGUCCGAGCGUCAUUGCUGCCCUUCAAGCCCGGCUUGUGUGUUGGGUCGUCGUCCCCUCCGGGGGACGGGCCCGAAAGGCAGCGGCGGCACCGCGUCCGGUCCUCGAGCGUAUGGGGCUUUGUCACCCGCUCGAUAAGGACCGGCCGGGCGCCAGCCGGCGUCUCCAACCUUUUUUUCUCAGGUUGACCUCGGAUCAGGUAGGGAUACCCGCUGAACUUAAGC
rnacentral:misc_RNA from 1 species